UUAUGUAAAGACAUUUACAAAUAAAAAUGUCGAGAAAAGAUAUUAGGAAUAUUUGAGAAAAUAAAAAUAAAUAUAGGUGGUACAAAUAUUUCAGAUUUUUUGACAAUAUUUAUUAUCUAAAGUAAUCGAUGCAUUAUGGCCUGUAAUAAAAUUAUAGAAGGGAUUACACCUAGGCAUAUCAUUGGGCCAUGCCUCUGUCGUCGACAACCAAUCCGGUCCGGUUGUUCUUCAGCAGUACCUCACUUCGUGAGAGACACCGACGCCCAUGAUAAAUUAUAGAGAAAGAUAAAAUAUACUGAAAUAAAUUAUUUAAUGCAUGUUUCCUUUGCAUUUUGAAAUAAGAGAUUCUCCAAUCGGUAGUAAGUAAUAAACCAUGGCAGGAAGAUACUAAGCAGGAACUCUAUCAACUCGCAGUACUAUUUUACUUUCUUACAAUUGUGUGUGUCCGUCUGUAGCUCACUUUGAUUUAUAGCCACCACUGGGUUAUGAACAUAGGAGCAACAUCUAUCCUUCAUUAAGCAGUAACCUAAAACAUGAAUAUGCAGGAAACACAAGAAUUAUAAAUUAAAGUGGAACCAUUGUGAGGAUUAAUUCAAUCAAAGAAGUUGGGUCGAAAGCUAUGCGUUUUGCAUAGCACACUACAUGACAGAUCACAUAAUUGUUGAAUCUAAGUCUUCAUCGUACACUGCGUUACAACAAGAAUCAUGUAUGUAUGUACCUCUGAUCAAUGAUAUCAGACUAAUCUCCACAUAGAAGUAACACCAAACAUGGUUAUUCAAUUGCAAAUUUGUAAGCAAUAUUUUUGUAUAUUUCAAACCAUAAAACCUGAUCUAUUUAUAUCUUGAACCAUUUGUUAGUUGACAGAAAUCAUAGUUCACAUUUAUACCGAGGGUUGUACGCAAAUGUUUAUGUUGUUAGUUGGUUUAUUAACUUUCCUUGGCAUCAGCUCUCUUGUAUCAGAUGAGGUCUGAAUCAACCAGUGUAUAAAUCAACAGAAAACUGGCAUGAGAAGAUCUUAUAAGCUAAAAUAAAGAUUAUAAACUUGCUUGCUUAUUUGAGACAAACAUAGUAACCUUGCAGGCCAAAUAGCACACGAGAGAAACAUCGCAACAUUGACAUGCCUGUCUACUUUUCCGGUUGGAUCAUAGGAAUUUCUAUAAAUAUGUGCAGUAUGAAACAUGGAAGUUUAAUAGAAUAUGGGUUUGGAAUUUAAGGAUACCAACAAAAUUAAGCUUCUGGAUUAGCACUCAAAAUCAUUACUUCUUCUUAGGAUGAUCAUACAACGAAACAUAUAGUAGUGAAAAUUUGUCUAUUGUAGCUGUAAGAUAAGUCACCAAAACCAAAGGUCAUGUAUACGCUCUGAGGCCUUCAAGUUCAGUACUGCGAUAGGAGGUUUGUGCAAAUAUGUAUGACACCAAAAGAUGUCAUGGUUGCAUGUAGCCGUCUUAGCAUAACAAUAUAGGCGAGACUAUAACUUAUCUGUUGCUUUCAAAUUGGACGAAGUCAGAAAGAAAAAUGACCACAAUAUUUUUGCAAUUUCCAAGAUAAAGUCAAAGAAAGAGCCAAACUAACCUUCACAGCAAGCAUCACCUCCAGAUCAACUUCUAUCACGGUUGCCUCGGGGACUUUGGCUCCUCCGGUGCAGGACUCAUUAUAUUUCUCUUCAUGGCCAAGAGGCAUGCAUCUAUUCUUUUCACUUCUAUCUUCCUGCAUAUGUCCAUCGGUGAAAAUUCAAUUAAUGACACAAAAUAUCAACAAUAACAUCAUAUAUUGCAGAUAACAAGAGAAGAGCAUGAGAGAAGUGGGAGAGCAUAACUGUUGAUCAGAAAUGGCAUACCUGCAAACUUGUGAGAUUUUUGGGGACGUGAUAUUUUUGCAUUGCACACGCAAUGUAGAUUAUGUCAAUUAGGAAAUUCCUUAGUUCCUAAAUGCCUGAUAGUUAUAAGCAAAUCAGGGCAACACGCAUGCAAGACGAUGAUGUAGAAAUGGGUGCUUCAAGGAGUGUGAACUUGCCAUAGUACAAUAUGUACUUUUCCUCCUUUAGUAAAAAAAUCUUCAAGGCAUUAGAAAAAGGUGAUAAAAAAAUUAAUGUCAUGAGGACCAUGCUGGUCGACCAGGCUGAUAUUUGAGUUUACAAUAAAAUUAUCAUCCAUUGGAACCAGCUAGCAGCUAGCACUUGUUAUGACAAACCAAAAUGCAUCAUUGGUGUUAUUUCAUACUCCCUCCGUUCCUAAAUACAAGUCUUUUUAGAGAUUCAACUACAAACUACAUACGGAUGUAUAUAGACAUAUUUUAGAGUGUAGAUUCACUCAUUUUGCUAUGUAUGUAGUCUAUAGUGAAAUCUCUAAGAAGACUUACAUUUAGGAACGGAGGGAGUAUAAGUGUACUACCAAUGUUACAUGUUUGCAGAAUGUAAUCACAGAACUACAUAUAAACCCCCCAUCAUAAAACACGAGAAUUCAGAAUGAAUAUAAGAAAUGUUCACCGAGUCAGGUGUAUACCUUAAUAUAAUCCUUGAAAUUUUCCAUCGAUGUCUCAAUUGGUUCUACAAGCAAUCAAAAAGCCAAAUGCCCAACAGACAUGUAAUCAAAUAUAUAAUAAUGAAAACAAAUAAAUUACUUGUAGAUGCUUAAGUCACAUUACAUGGGCAUAGGAAGUUGAAAGAAAAGUAAUCACACUCGGUGGUGCUCGAACCACCUAAAUAGAAUCAUACGCUUUGGCCACAAGAGCUUCCCUGAUAAUAUUCCUUGUUGUGUAUGCAAGCAGCUGCAUACCAAGCUAUGUGAAU
rnacentral:lncRNA from 1 species